rnacentral:rRNA from 1 species
UCGCCUGAGGCGCAGCCUGAUCCAGCAAUGCCGCGUGAGUGAAGAAGGCCUUCGGGUUGUAAAGCUCUUUUGUCAGGGAAGAAACGGCUGAGGAUAAUACCUUCGGCUAAUGACGGUACCUGAAGAAUAAGCACCGGCUAACUACGUGCCAGCAGCCGCGGUAAUACGUAGGGUGCAAGCGUUAAUCGGAAUUACUGGGCGUAAAGCGUGCGCAGGCGGUUUUGUAAGUCUGUCGUGAAAGCCCCGGGCUCAACCUGGGAAUUGCGAUGGAGACUGCAAGGCUUGAAUCUGGCAGAGGGGGGUAGAAUUCCACGUGUAGCAGUGAAAUGCGUAGAGAUGUGGAGGAACACCGAUGGCGAAGGCAGCCCCCUGGGUCAAGAUUGACGCUCAUGCACGAAAGCGUGGGGAGCAAACAGGAUUAGAUACCCUGGUAGUCCACGCCCUAAACGAUGUCUACUAGUUGUCGGGUUUUAAUUAACUUGGUAACGCAGCUAACGCGUGAAGUAGACCGCCUGGGGAGUACGGUCGCAAGAUUAAAACUCAAAUGAAAUUGACGG